CAUCAUUAACUCACUUAACAUUUUUUUAUUCACAGAGUAAAUUCAGUCAACCCACCAUCAUUAGCCUGUAACUAAAGCAAGCAGGCACAGAAAUUAAAUAGAGAUGUAGAAGAAGAGGAUCUUAAGGGUUGGAAAGAAAGAGGCGGAGAAGAGAAAGAGGAAGAAGAUCACAACCAAAGAGGGGGGUGACAGUGAGCCAACCAAAAGAAGAGGAGAAAACACAGGAAAACAUAAAAAAACUAAAAAACUUCAUCAAAAAAAAAAAUACAUAAAAAUAGCCUCUAUAUAAGGAGGGAGAUUUAAUUAAAAUACAG